rnacentral:rRNA from 1 species
AGUGAACGCUGGCGGUAGGCCUAACACAUGCAAGUCGAACGGCAGCACAGUAAGAGCUUGCUCUUACGGGUGGCGAGUGGCGGACGGGUGAGGAAUACAUCGGAAUCUACUUUUUCGUGGGGGAUAACGUAGGGAAACUUACGCUAAUACCGCAUACGACCUACGGGUGAAAGCAGGGGAUCUUCGGACCUUGCGCGAUUGAAUGAGCCGAUGUGGGAGUAGCUAGUUGGCGGGGUAAAGGCCCACCAAGGCGACGAUCCGUAGCUGGUCUGAGAGGAUGAUCGGCGGCAUUGGAGCGGAGACAGGGUCCAGAGGCCUACGGGAGGCAGCAGAGGGGAAUAUUGGACAAUGGGCGCGAGCCUGAUCCAGCGAUACCGCGUGGGUGGAGAAGGCCUUCGGGGUGUGAAGCCCUUUUGUUGGGAAAGAACAGCAGCCGGUUAAUACCACGCUGUUCUGACGGUAACCAAAAAAUAAGCACCGGCUAACUUCGUG